rnacentral:rRNA from 1 species
UACGUAGGGGUCGAGCGUUGUCCGGACUUACUGGGCGUAAAGCGUGGGUAGGUGGUCGGUGAUGUGCCGUGUGAAAGCCCCGCGUUCAUCGGGGGGAGGUCGCGGUAGACACAUUGACUUGAGGCAUACAGAGGGCCGUGGAAUUCCCGGUGUAGUGGUGAAAUGCGUAGAUAUCUGGAGGAACACCGGUGGCGAAGGCGACGUCCUGGACCGGCAUUGACGCUGAGACGCGAAAGCGUGGGGAGCAAACAGG